UGCGCCGAGUGGCGAACUGGUGAGUAACACGUGGGUAACCUGCCCUUGAAGUAGGGGAUAACACUUGGAAACAGGUGCUAAUACCGUAUAACAACCAAAACCACCUGGUUUUGGUUUAAAAGAUGGCUUCGGCUAUCACUUUAGGAUGGACCCGCGGCAUAUUAGCUUGUUGGUAAGGUAACGGCCUACCAAGGCAAUGAUACGUAGCCGACCUGAGAGGGUAAUCGGCCACAUUGGGACUGAGACACGGCCCAAACUCCUACGGGAGGCAGCAGUAGGGAAUCUUCCACAAUGGACGAAAGUCUGAUGGAGCAACGCCGCGUGAGUGAUGAAGGGUUUCGGCUCGUAAAACUCUGUUGUUGGAGAAGAACAGGUGUGAGAGUAACUGUUCACAUCUUGACGGUAUCCAACCAGAAAGCCACGGCUAACUACGUGCCAGCAGCCGCGGUAAUACGUAAGUGGCAAGCGUUGUCCGGAUUUAUUGGGCGU
rnacentral:rRNA from 2 species